CGUAAGGAGCGCCCUCUCGCGAUGGCCACGUAGACACUGGACCCCGCGAGGACCGACCCAUCUCUCUCGUCCUCACCCCGCACCCCGUUCCCUAAAUUCUUCUCCUCUCCCUCGUUUGCCGCCGCCACCCCCACAGCCGUCACCGCCGCCGCCACCAGCGACUUCCCUCACAGCCUGCGCCCCACCCCUUCUCUCCUCUCGACCACCAGGCGACCUCCUUGCCUCCCCUUCCGCCCAGAUCGAGAAGCAGAUCGGGAUCCACGGCCACGGCGGCAUGAGCGCCCCGAUUUAGGUUUAAGCCGCGUGACGAGGGUGCUCUCUGCAGCGCUAACCCAAGUGCCGACGUCACGGACAAGGUUCGUGAAGCAUCUUUGCCCGUGGAAACCGAGACCGUCUGGUUUUCUUCAUCUCCCUAUGUGAUGGGUGCCAUCAGCUUUUGUGCAUGUUUCAUGGAGAGGAGAAGCCGCUCCAAUUCCAUCUCCUGAAGGAGGAUGCCCACCAUCCAAGGUGCUCAACAUCACAUCCAUCUAUUGCCUGCCAAGAGCGAAGAUGUCUAUCUGAUAGGCAAAGCAGACAUAUCAAAGCUUCUUGUACGUAUUCGGGAGGAUGCCUGUUGUGACGAUGAUCAGACUGGUAGCGCACGUUUACGGACACCAGUGGGCAGAACAGCAGAAGUCACAACAUUGGACGCAAACGCAAUCGGCAACGGCGACCAGACAUGCAGUGACCCGACGAUUGGCGACGUCUGCAGUACUGGGCGAGUGACGAAUGACUGACAGUGACGAUUCAAUUGAUCUGGUGGAUUCAGGGAUAGUUGGCUAUCGGCGUCCAUGACACCCGCGGCACGUCCCCCGCCAUCGACCAAAUCGACAACUACGACGGCUUCAUGAUCUUGCUCACAUGAUGUGUGGAUGCGCCCCUAGAACUUGGUGGCAUCGUGACGUCCUCCAUAGUCCACUCCACACCACAGGCACCCGUCUGCCCGUUGGCCUGAAAUCCCACUUCUGAUCUUCUCUGAAACCAAAGGACGGACUGUUGAAGAAGCCCAAAGGCAGCACUGCCGGACCUAGGGGAAGGCGUUGCGGCUGGGUCGUCUAACAUGGAGUGGGGCAACGUUCUUGUAGCUGCCACCUCAUCUUCUAUGGAGCCUGCAUGAUUUUAAUUGGAGGGAAGAUGGGUGUUUUCAUCUGUGGCGUAGUAUAUACCUGGCGUUCAUCUUCAGGGCAUAGCGUGGCUGGUUCUGGUGCCAGCGAGUUGACGCUCAAACGCCGUCCAGUUAUUAGAUAACGAGGAGUUACGGCCGGGGAUCGCGGCACGUCCUUGCCUGUCUCGCUCAAGGACUGCAGAGAUGGAGAGUCUAUGUCAGGCUCCUCCUCCUUGUAUGGUAGGUGGUGCGGUGGUGGUCGCACAGCUAAGAUAUCCAUGGAGGGCAAGAUCUCCGUUGGGUGAACGCUUGAGCAUGUAUUGGAGGGAGAUGGGACUCCACCGUUCAUCCAUUUUACAGCGGAUUGAUAUUUAUUUAUGAGUAUGACCCAUGUACAGCUCAGUUACAGAAGAUGAAGAUGAAGGGAUGCGUAUGGAGGAGAAAUUAAAUCACAGUAUCACAUUCACGGCAGGAAAACAGAAUGCAGGACCGUGAUAGCUUAUAUGGCAAUGAUGCUGAUGCAGGACCAUGAAAGCUGAUGCGGCAUGAUGGUGAUGUGGAUAAUGUGCAUGUUAAGAGAAUUGUUAGUAGUGGGGAUCAACUUCUUAAGAUUGUAGGAUGAUGGAAUCGGGAAGUACUUGUGCAUUAAAUGAAGUGCUAAUCAUUUUUAGUUAGAUGGCUAUUGUGUUCUUUGUUUACCCAUUGUUGAUUAUACUUACAGGGCCUAGAUCAAUGUAAAGCUGUGGGAUGCGCAGCAGAAGGAUUUGAAUGCUGGAAAUAAGAGGGUGAGAUGGAUAGAUAGAGAACCUUAUGCUUACUGGAAAGGGAAUCCAGAGAUCGCAACUAUAAGGCAAGAGCUUAUCAAGUGUGAUGUUUCCAGUAAACAAGAAUGAAAUACACGGAUCUACAAACAGGAUUGGAUCAAAGAGAGCAAGGCAGGAUACAAGAAAUCAUAUUUGGCCAGUCUAUGCACCCAUAGGUACAAGAUCUACAUUGAAGGAUCAACAUGGCCAGUUAGUGAGAAGUAUAUCAUAGCUUGUGAUUAAACCAAAAUACUGCGAUUUCUUUUCAAGGGUGUUGAUGCCCACUCAGCAUUAUUGGCCAGUUCGAGAUGAUAGGUUAUAGCAUGUUCAGUUCAUCAUUGAGAUAUCCCCUCUGGUUACCUUUUUUCAUUGUGCUAUGUGCAUCUAGCUGGUGGCCACCAGCUAAAAAGGCACUCUUGGUUCUGUAUAUAAUAUCACCGUUCACUGAUACUACUAAUACUGGAGGCACAUGAGUUUGGAACACUCCUGUAGAAUGCCAUCACGGCAGCUUGCCUAUCGGGAGUUUCGUGCGUCAUAGGCAAUCUUCCUGUCCUUGUUCCCCACUGUCUCUAACGGAAUUCUCCCUCUAGAUCUCAAUUCUUUGAGCACAUGGAGAUGUCUUGAUUAUCAAUGCUUUAGUCUAUGCCACUGUUGUUUUUAACAUACUGACUGGCCGUAUCCUACUAUGACUUCAGUUGACACAUUGUGACCAUCCUCCAUAAGUAUUUUGUAGACCCAGGCUUAAAUAUAAAAUGUCCUACUCUAUAACAAUGUUGCUCGUCUACUCUAGGAUCACGCUAAUUGCUAAGUAGUUGAUGAAUAGAUAAAUUAUAUAUCUAAUAUGUCAUCUGCUGCUUGAUAUUUGUUGUUGAACUAAUUAGUACUGAUGUGCCUUCAAGUUCUGAUGCAAUUUAGAACAUCUCUCUUUAAGCAAAAGUCUUGUUGACGCAAAUUUUUUUUGUAGCUCUGAAUUUAGUAAUCAUUUGCCCUCAGCAGCGUGUUGAUGAUUUGGCAAGAUGUCUAGCUAUCUAACAUAUAGUAUUACUUUUCCUCUUUACAAACUCAAAGUUGUUGGUCUUGUUGUCUUACUGACUAGAAGCAAUAAUACACAUUUGCCUGGUGAUGUGACUUGGUAUUCUGAUAGACGGGGUCGCGUGUAAUAGAAUUGAUGCAUAUAGUUUGAAUGCACUGACCUAUUCUGCUGCUUUCCCAUUUUUUGUGCGUAUGAUAUUGUAGCACUAGCAUGUUUCAUUUGGAUCAGUGAGAUACACAUUCUCUCUUUCCAUCUUUAAUAUGUAAUUCGGUGUGUUACUUUGCCUUUUCUAUUGCCAAUACAAAAGUAUUAGAACUUAAUUUAUUUGCCUUACAUAAGAUGGCAUUGUCUUUUUGAGUGCUGGGAUUCAAAUAUGGUUACUCCCUCCUUCCAUCUAUAUAGGGCCUAAUGUGUUUUUGAGGGUAACUUUGACCAAAUGUUAGAGCAAUAAUAUAUGACAUGCAAGUUACAUAAAGCAUAUCGUCAAAUUCGUACGAGAAAGGAGCUUUCAAUGAUAUAAUUUUCAUGUUGUACAUCUCAUGAAUUAUUAGUUCUAUCAAUAGUCAAAGGCGGUCUUGAAAAACGCAUUAGGCCCUAUAUAGAUGGACGGAGGGAGUAGUAUUGUGUUUUCAUGGUCAUUCAAGUUGGGUGCUGAGUGGACACUAUGGUAAGCUUAAUUAAAUAACUAUGAGUACUAUGUAAAUUGUAGUUCAACAAUUACUUAGUCACUACUAUGUAAAUUGUGGUUCAACGGAUACUCCAUUUGUAAAUGCGUCAAAACUUCCCUUCGAAAUUCGUAUCCUCAAGUUUCAAAGCAUUUGAUUUGUGAAGCAUAGGUCGAUUGCCAUAUGACUGAGAAAAACAUGAUCCAUUUUUGUACAAAGCUAUAUGCAUAGUAGUCAUAUGAGACGAUAAUAAAUACGGCAGCAUGAUUAGUGCGCACAGUCUCGCCUCAAGAGACGCGCCUGGGGCGCGUCCCAACCACUAGUAUUUUUCAAAAAUUGUUUGGCCUGGGGCACAUCCCACUUCCAAGCCUAGGAAGCCCAGGCCAGCUAUCCCAGCUGCCCGACGCCUUGUUGCGUGCUUCCUGCCUGCACAAACAGAAGCACGGGUGAACCAACCAGCUGCCUCUGCUUUCCCCGAUUUGGACGAACCCUAGGCCACCAGAAACAGCCGUCCCUGGCUCCAGCGCCGCCUGCCGCCGCCACCUGCCGGCCACCUUGUUCCAGUCUGUUGCCCGCCCCUUCCCUUCGAGUUGCACCACUGCGGGCUGCUGCUUUAUCCCGUCGUCAGGUUGCGUAGCGGCGGGUUGCUGCUCUGUUUGGUGAGGCGCGGAGGUGGCGACUCAGGCGAGGCUUGGCGUCCCGCGAGGUGCUCGAUCCUUUCUGUUUGGCGUCCGGUGAGGUGGUUAUUUGCCAGGAGCCGAACCGCAGCACAGAGGAGUGAACCAUCAACUAACUUCACAUGAGAUACAAUUGGAUUUUUGGAAGGCUUGUGCACAAGAGACCACCGAAGUCAUUAUUGAGGAGACUAGAAAUAGGAAAUUUGCUUUACUUGUUGAUGAGUCCAGAGAUGCAUCUAUGAAGGAGCAAAUGGCUAUGUGCUUGAGGUAACUCGACAAAUGAGGGGAGGUGAUUGAAAGAUUCAUGUCAGUUGAGCAUGUUCCCGACAUAAGAUCAAAUUCACUGAAGGUAGGUUUGGAUGGUAUGUUUGCUAUUCUUGGUUUAUCUAUGUCUAAUUUGAGAGGACAAAGUUAUGAUGGGGCUUCAAACAUGAGAGGGGAAUUCUGUCGGUCGCAAAGAUUGAUCUUGGAAGAAAAUCCUUAUGCUCAUUAUAUACGUUGUUUUGCCCAUGAGUUACAAUUAGUGGUUGUUGCUGUUGCCAAGUGUUGUUCAUCAGUAAGGGAUUUUUUUGAAUACACAAGCAUGGUGGUUAACAUUGUUAAUGCUUCUUGUAAACGACAUGAUCAAUUGGCCCAAGAGCAACAUGAUGAAAUAGUGUGUCAAAUAGAGGCUGGGGAACUUCUUGUGGGAAAAGGGAAAAACCAAUUAACUAACCUUGCAAGACCCGAUGAUACACAGUGGGGAUCACAUCAUAAAACCUUGUGCCAUCUUGUUGAGAUGUGGAAACCAGUUUUAAAGGUAUUAGAAAAUCUACAUAAUGAUGCAGAUAAUGUUGCACAAAGAACCACAACCGCGGGAUUGAUAAAGCACAUGGAGUCCUUUGAAUUUGUUCUCAUAUUGCAUCUUAUGAUCACAUUAUUGGGAAGGCUAACAAUCUGUCACAAUGCUUGCAACUGAAAAAUCAGAAUAUUGCACGUGCUGCGGGAUUGAUUAAAACCACAUUGGAUGAUAUUCAAAAGAUAAGGCAUAAUGGUUGGGGUGAGAUCUUUAAAGAGGUAACUGACUUUUUGUGUCAAAUACAACAUUGUAGUGCCAAAUAUGGAAGAUACAAGAACUGCUAAUGGGCGUUCAAGGAGUUGGGGUGGGCAAUUGGUAACUUACAACCAUCAUUUCAGAAAUGAAAUAUUCAAUGUGUUGCAUGAUCAACUUAUUGUAGAGUUAAACAACCACUUUGCCGAAAGGUCUACUCAAUUGUUGAGAUGCAUUGCUUGUCUUGAUCCCAAGAAUUCAUUUGCCAACUAUAAUGAAGACAAGCUAGUAGAUCUUGCUAAUAUGUAUGCUGCUGACUUCUCUACAUAUGAAGUUGCUUUUGUCCUUAGAAACCAACUAGACUCAUUCAUUUAGGAAGCAAGAGCUGAUCCACAUUUGAUGAAUUGCAAUGACCUUGGUCAUCUUGCCAUAAAUAUGGUUACAACUGAUAUGCACACAACUUUUCCCUUGGUUUACCGUCUUGUUGAGUUAGCAUUGAUUUUACCUGUUGCAACCGCAACAGUGGAAAGGGCAUUCUCAGCAAUGGGCAUUAUCAAGACUGGAUUGAGGAACAAAAUGGGUGAUGAUUGGAUGAGUCAUAGAAUUUUACAUUGAGCGAGAUGUACUUGUGAAUAUUGAAGAAUCAAAGAUCGUUGAGCGAUUUCAAGGUUGUCGCAAUCGUAAAUGCCUUUUGCAUCGUCCUAGAUGUAAGUUUUCAAAUUUUGUAGCUAUUAUUAACUAUUUUUGCUUGCUAUAUUAUGCACUAAUUUGCAUUUCAAAAAUUACCAUUCAAGGUUUAGCUUCUUUAGCUAUUGAAGAUGUAGUCAUGGGAGUCUCAGAUCAACAAAACCUUUGAUUUGGUAUUAAUCUUUUGUAUCAUCUAUAUAUGCUACAUUUUGUCUUUUGAUUUAUCUUGCUUUAGUUGACCCAUCAUGGAACAAAUGAUGUCACUGAAUAUUAUGUUUGGUGUACUAUUAGUUAUGCAACAUAGGUUGACUUUCCUAUGCCCUGAAAUUGGAGAUUUUUAGGGUAGUUUUUAGCCCUUAGUUUCUCGACUGGAGCGUCAGUCAAUCCUAGCUUCGCCACUCCUCAUAUGGAUGCAUCUCUACGUGAUAUAGAUGGUUAGGGAGACACAGGAGGUUAAGGCGAAGAUGAUAGAGGGUAGUCCUGGCCAUCUUAGGCCCGGCCCUGUCGGCCCAUCCAGGCCCGACCCUAAAAUCCAGGGCCUAGGCCUGAUGGGCUUGCUCAUGGGCCGGGCUUGGGCCUAAGUUUUGAGCCCACCAGCAGGGCCUGGACGGGCUUGGGCUUGACAUAUUGACAUUUUAAGAAAGAGGCUCGUCCCACGGCCCUAAGCCCUAAGGGCUUUUGAGGGCUUUUUACCAGAUGGGCCGGGCUUGGGCUUGAAACGUAGGCGCGAUGGUAGGGUCUGGGAGGGCCCGGGCCUCAGUUUUCUGCCGUGGGCUUUUUCAGGCCCGACCCAAGCCCGGUCUGGCCCGGCCCAUGGCCAGAUAUAAUAGAGGGUAAGGAAGGCGCUGGGAACCUUCUACGGCGACAAAAUCGACCGACGAGAGCUCCCGCGGUGGCUGAACUUCGGCGAGAUCGAAAUGAGGCAAAACAGGCAAGGAGAUCUCAACUUGGCGAAAAAUCGGACAAAUAGGAGCAAGUGGGUAUUUAUAUGGGGUCAUGUGUGUACUAGGGGCAACAGAUUGGUCGAUUGGAUGAGGAUUUGGAUCGGGAAAGUGAAGAACUCAUGCGCAUGCAGGAGUUCGUCUCCUGGAGGAAGAUGACCCGACAAGACCUGGCGUCAGUGCAAGCGAGGAGGAAAAAGGCAGAAGAAGGAGAUGCCAGCGGGGUGUGGGCUGCUCGCUGAGCAGAAAUGGGCCUCUGGCCUGCUAGCUGCUGCUAUUGAGUAAUGCACGUGGGCGAGGAAAAAGGAGUUGGGUUCCAUAGUGCCAGAUUUAUUUUAAACAACUUUUGCUAUAGGAAGUAAAAUAUAACUAAAUAAAAUAGAAAAUUAAAGCCUAAAAAAAGUACUAGAAUACACAUGAAAACAUUAUUACUACUAUAUAAAAUAGUGAACAUUUUUACAACACAAACGAAAUUUUGGAACAUUAUCUUAUGCAAUAGGUGCCAUAAAGAGUAUUAUAAUAGCAACUACAAAAUAAUUUUGAGUUUCUAAAAUUCCCAAAGUACUGUGAAAUACAAACAAUAUUAUUAGCACUACGAGCAUUUAUAACAAGGGCGAAGUCAUGCUAUCUCCAUCCCAAUAAUUUGCCUCAAGUUGCAACAACGAUUUAAAUAUUCAGAAAAUUCAAAUAUGCAUAUAAAUUAUGAUGAAAAAUAAUGAUCCUAUUAACAUACCAAAUCUGAAAAUUUGGGAUGUUACAAAUCUACCACCCUUAAGAUGAAUCUCACCCUCGAGAUUCAAAGAGGUUAGAAAGAAAAGGUUAGGUUUGGGAUUCUACUUGAAUUUUGCAUUGAUCAUUCGAGAGGCUCGCGUGCUACCACCAUUAGAAUCAGAGUCAUGGGUCUUCGGAAAUCUUACUCCUUCGAUGAGAUCCUUCAAGUAUGAGUACCACACUCGUUUUAGAUUUUGAAUCCUUUAUCAAAAGUGUGGCCUACCAAUUAUUGAACCUCUAUGAUUGACAGGUCAUGCACCAUUCCUAAACAAAAUCGGUUCUCUGAUGGUGGCCAACAAGAAUACUUGUAUGUGGUUCCUGUAGAAAACGGUUCUUGGUUCAUCCUCACCGUAUGACCUACUAUGGGCAACGGGUGCCCUUUUACAAGGGUAAACUUAAUUCCAUUCUAAGGUUCAGGAUUAACAAUCUCGCCCCUCUACUACAGGUAAGUCACUCUAGAUUAACCAUCCCACAUAGAAAGAGUGAAUAAUAACAGUAAGUCGGCAUGGUGAUCAAUCCAUUUCGCACCCAAAUCAUUACCUUGUAUAUGGUUUAGAAAAUCUCACAUUCUAACACUCAGGCAUCCUCACAAGCAUUGCAAAAAUUUCUCUUGUUCACGAACUGGGUUCUGAUAAUUCCAUUGGUUCUGCAUGCCAGACAAAACAUCUAUUGUUCCUAUCAACUCUCAGGUUUGCGUCAACUACUAUAAAACAUCUACUAAUGAAUUAUAGCUUCCUCCAGGGUUCUUUCUUCAGCAAGAUUGUGAUUGCUUCUUGUCGGAUACUGGGCAUGUGGUUAAACUUGAACUCAUCACUGGGUUGCAACAUGUAAGAACUAAGGGAAAAACACUACCCAUAUGCUAGCAACAAACCCCAAAUCAAACAAAUCACACAAGUUGCACCACACAAGCAAAACCUAUGGGUAAGGUCAUAUCCACAAGAGAUAUGAUCUCGUUAGACUACCGCCAAUCGUUUACCUGACUCAACUUAGUAGUGGUGGUCUGCCAACUAAAACUCUUCAAAUGAGACUACUAUAACUACAGGGGUCAUCUAUACUUGAAAAGAAAAGAUAUGAGUACAAGGUAUGAACUAUCAAGUACAACAAGGCUGUAAAGUAAGUUUUCAGUCCUAUGGCUUUUCCUAUUCCAUUUUCUAGGGUAAUGACCUACAGUCACCACACUGCUCUGAUACCAUCUGUAACAACCUGAACCAGAUAAGAUUUGAUGUCUCUGUGCUUACUGUGCUAGUCCCUGGAUCAAUUCGCUAGCACACACAAUACAUAUGAAUAUCAAAACAACAAGUCCAUCAGUUACUUCGACGUAUGAUCCAGAAUUUGUAGUGUUAAAAAUUGUGUAGCACAUAACUAGCCUUAUUUAGUAAUAAUAGCAGAAAUGUAGCAUAAGUAAAAGAUGAGUCCCAUUAAUGCCCACUGGCGAAAAGCUGAGUGAAGACUCGCGAUCCUACUGUAUCUCAUUGAUCAUCUGAAAAUCCUGUAACAUGAUAAGUUGCAGCCACAAGGGUCAAUACAUUGAAUGUACUGACAAAUCACACACAAUGAUAUAGCAAACCUACAUCCACAAGCAAGGUAUGACAAACAGAACACUCAAGUUGGUUUGUAGAAGAAUGUCUUCACCUACCUCCACUAACUGGAAUUACAACCCCUCUAAUUUAUUCGCCCAUGAUAAUACCAAAGAUCCUAAGUUAACAUGACAAGAACUUCAGUAGUCUCUCAAGUGCGCUCUGUCAAUGACUCAUUCUCUAGGAACCAUAGAGCACUCAUCCAAGGAUGCAUUCACCCGAUUUAAGUUCCGAAAACUACACCUCGCCUCAAGUGUGCUCUGUUAGUGGCGCGUUCUCUAGGGACAAUAGAGUGCUCUGCCAGUGACGCAUUCACCACGUAAAAAUUCUCGAGCCUAAAACUAUAAACGCUCACCACUUUCAUGAAUCACUCGACUCAUACCCGCUCUACCAUAGCAAGCUAAUCACACCAUCACAUACUACAAACAGUCCAUGAAUAUGACAACACAGAAUAUAACGAUCAACCAAACAUAUAUCAUCACACAACAACUACACA